rnacentral:rRNA from 1 species
GCCUACGGGGCGCAGCAGUAGGGAAUAUUGCUCAAUGGGGGAAACCCUGAAGCAGCAACGCCGCGUGGAGGAUGAAGGUUUUCGGAUUGUAAACUCCUUUUGUUAGAGAAGAUAAUGACGGUAUCUAACGAAUAAGCACCGGCUAACUCCGUGCCAGCAGCCGCGGUAAUACGGAGGGUGCAAGCGUUACUCGGAAUCACUGGGCGUAAAGAGCGCGUAGGCGGGAUAGCAAGUCAGAUGUGAAAUCCUAUGGCUUAACCAUGGUACUGCUCUGGAAACUGUGGAGCUUGAGUGCGGGAGGGGCG